UACGUAGGGACCAAGCGUUGUUCGGAUUUACUGGGCGUAAAGGGCGCGUAGGCGGUGCGGUAAGUCACUUGUGAAAUCUCCGAGCUUAACUCGGAACGGCCAAGUGAUACUGCAGUACUAGAGUGCGGAAGGGGCAAUCGGAAUUCUUGGUGUAGCGGUGAAAUGCGUAGAUAUCAAGAGGAACACCUGAGGUGAAGACGGGUUGCUGGGCGUGACACUGACGCUGAUGCGCGAAAGCCAGGGGAGCGAACGGG
rnacentral:rRNA from 1 species